rnacentral:lncRNA from 1 species
GUUUCAUCCACAAAGCCUGUUGUGUCUCAAUCAGAAGUUGCUCAGAGAGAGAUGGAGAGCUGUUUGACCCAAGAGUACACACCUGAUAGUCUGCCCUUACUGCUGCAUCAGGUUGCUUAUGAGCUGUUUUAUUGUGUUCACACUAUAAACUUGUGUGAAAACAUUUCUGAUCAUUUUGACUCCAUUCUCAACAGUUUUACACAGAUCAAACUUAUAAACUGGCACGGUGCAAAUCCACCGUCCUGGAGAAACUAUAUCCUCAAUAUAAAGUAUCUAAAUUCUGCAUCUUAGAAUAUUUUCAUGCAUUCAUAGGCAAAAUUAAUCAAUUAAUCGUGCCCCUAUUGCUCUGCUUAGAAACAGAUCACACAUUUGACCAAUGAGUUUGAGGAUUCUGUGCAUCGGGCACGUCGUCUUGCUGUGUCCAGAGAGAAGGUGCUGGCGGGUGUGGAGAGUCCAGUCAGUGUGGUCACACAGGAAGACGUCAUCAUUUACCUACAGUGGCUCAUUUGCCAUUUGCACUCUGUCAAAAGCAUCCACAACUUUCUGCAUGUUCUUCAUUAUCUCCCUUCUACUCAGUGGAAUGAGGAUCAGAUGUCCAGUACUGUAGAUUUGACAUCUCCUGCAUAUUUUGAUGGAGUAUUUGUAUCAGUGUCAGAGGUCCCCCUGCACUCGGUCAAUAUAGAGGUUUUUAAAACCCAGCUGGACUUCCUCCUGUCACAUUUUGACAUCCAGUAUAAUAACAGAACCAUCAAGACAGCUGGAGAUGAAAUGGAGCUCUUUAGUAUGGUUAACUACCUGUUCAGGACUGUGUUUAAAAAUCAGGAGGAGAUGAAGACCUUCUUACAGUAUGUCAGCACUGAAGCAACAGAGAGGAAGUGGGGGAGAAAGAGUCCGAACAUGACGCUCAGAAAAGAGUCCAACUGGAUUCCUCAUAUACAGAUGAAACCAAAGCGAGAUCCCUGGCAACAAAAACAAAUGGCUAAACUCAAGGAGCUCAGAUCAAUGGAUGAACUUCUCCAGAUGCACAGCAAGUUCCUGGAGGAGUCCGAUCUUCAUAAAGUGACUGAUGCUUUAAAGCAGUACAUCGCAUCUGUUUGUCAACAAGAACCCACAAAACCUUCAUCCAUCAGCACAGCGACCCUCAAAGAAGCUUCUGACAUAUGGAGAAGCAUUUAUAACACAGCAAACAUGUUUCAGGUGGCCACUGGACAGACUUCUCAUUUAUCUAAAUACACAGAUCAGAAAAACUCUGAGAAAAAGAAUGAAGGCAUUGCUGGUCAAAGCAGUGGUGCUUAUCUUCUUGAGAAGGAUGAAGAUGCUGAAGAUGGUGCCAAGGAUCCUGUAACAGUUAGAGGAGCUUAUGCAUCUUUAAUCUACCUGAGACACCUCAGGAUCAGAGAACUUAAGGUAAAAAACUGUCAAAAACUGGCAUUAUAG